rnacentral:rRNA from 1 species
UAGCUGCCGGACCUGACUGGAAUCGGAUUGAUACUAAGCCAUGCGAGUCUUUGCAGUAAUGCAAGGCAUACGGCUCAGUAACACGUAGUCAACUUACCCUAUGGACGAGGAUAAUCUCGGGAAACUGAGCAUAAUACUCGAUAGAUCAUAAUGCCUGGAAUGGUUUAUGGUUAAAAUGAUUCGUCGCCAUAGGAUGGGACUGCGGCCUAUCAGCUUGUUUGUGAAGUAAUGGCCCACCAAGGCGAUUACAGGUACGGGCUCUGAGAGGAGAAGCCCGGAGAUGGGUACUGAGACAAGGACCCAGGCCCUAUGGGGCGCAGCAGGCGAGAAAACUUUGCAAUGUGCGAAAGCACGACAAGGUUAAUCCGAGUGAUUUCUGCUAAAGAAAUCGCCUGCAAGUCAUAUAAACCACUAGUGAAUAAGGGGUGGGCAAGUUCUGGUGUCAGCCGCCGCGGUAAAACCAGCACCUCAAGUGGUCAGGAGGAUUAUUGGGCGUAAAGCAUCCGUAGCCGGCUCUGUAAGUUUGCGGUUAAAUCCAUGUGCUCAUCACAUGGGCUGCCGAAAAUACUGCGUAGCUAGGGAGUGGGAGAGGUAGACGGUACUCGGUAGGAAGGGGUAAAAUCCUUUGAUCUAUCGAUGACCACCUGUGGCGAAGGACGGUCUACCAGAACACGUUCGACGGUGAGGGAUGAAAGCUGGGGGAGCAAACCGGAUUAGAUACCCGGGUAGUCCCAGCUGUAAACGCUGCAGACUCGAUGAUGCAUUGGCAUAUAGCCAGUGCAGUGUCGCAGGGAAGUUGUUAAGUCUGCCGCCUGGGAAGUACGUACGCAAGUAUGAAACUUGGAGGCCCG